rnacentral:sRNA from 1 species
CUUUAUAGCUAGUGAUUUCUAUUUAUUUCAGGUUACGGGCUGCUCUUCUAGAUUAUAUCCCAUCUAGGCCUUGGUAUAAUCCUGACAAAUUAGAGAGGGAGGCACUGACUGACUGGACAGUUCCAGGGAUGCUAACUUUAGAAGACCUUGGAGUGACAUUAACCCCCUUUGAUGACAUGGCAAAGUUUC